rnacentral:rRNA from 1 species
AAAAGAAACCAACAGGGAUUGCCCUAGUAACGGCGAGUGAAGCGGCAACAGCUCAAAUUUGAAAUCUGGCCUUCGGGUCCGAGUUGUAAUUUGCAGAGGAUGCUUUGGGCGCGGUGCCUUCCGAGUUCCCUGGAACGGGACGCCUUAGAGGGUGAGAGCCCCGUACGGUUGGACACCAAGCCUCUGUAAAGCUCCUUCGACGAGUCGAGUAGUUUGGGAAUGCUGCUCUAAAUGGGAGGUAAAUUUCUUCUAAAGCUAAAUAUUGGCCAGAGACCGAUAGCGCACAAGUAGAGUGAUCGAAAGAUGAAAAGCACUUUGAAAAGAGGGUUAAAUAGCACGUGAAAUUGUUGAAAGGGAAGCGUUUGCGACCAGACCUUUUCUCAGCGGAUCAUCCGGUGUUCUCACCGGUGCACUUCGCUGGGUUGAGGCCAGCAUCGGUUUCCGCAGGGGGAUAAAAGCCUGGGGAACGUAGCUCCCUCGGGAGUGUUAUAGCCCCUCGCAUAAUACCCUUGCGAGGACCGAGGACCGCGCUUCGGCAAGGAUGCUGGCGUAAUGGUCGUCAACGACCCGUCU